AUCCACCACAGAAAUCCGUCGGCUAAACCAACCCCUGCGUGGCCCACCUUGAACGGAUACCGAGCACUCUCCUGCUCCAGGACCUCGGGAUCGAAUAUCUUCCCGAUGAACCUCUUGGCAUCGUAGAUGGUGUUUUGGGGGUUGCUGUCGGCCAGGUCCACGGCUUCAUGUCCAGCUAGCACCGCAGCGGUGGUGAAUGAGACGGCGCUGGGGAUGCUCUUCCUCCCGUCUUCAUCCGCGAUCACCUCCACAUCCCCGCUGCCCGGGUGGAAGACGCCGACAGAGCAGAAUGUGGUGCCCAGGUCCAGGCCGAUCACUUUCGGUUUUGGGGGCGGUAAGUACUGCUGGCCCAGGUAACCAGCCAGGAACAGGGCCAGGAUCACCGAACCUGUGGACAGUUCAUGGCUAUAGGCAUCUGGCCCUCAUGUAUCAUGCAUUGAACUGGAUCUGCGAUAAUCAGCCUUCUGCUUCAAGACAUCAGAUUACAGGAACACCUUCUGCCCCAUUAAGCACUUUCUAUCUGAGUAACAGGAAAUCACUGAUAAGCCUCCAACAGCACGCAGGAUGUAUUUCUACUCUGUGCAGCACAAAUGUCUCAGCUUUCACCUGCUAUUUCACAUGUUAAACAAUAAAAAAAUCUCUUUAUCCUCCAGCAGAAAUUCAUUUGGAAAUCAUUUCCAUCCUAGUCGAUGGUAAUGAGUGACAAAAAUGCUAAACCUAAACGAGUGUACUUUGUUUUAGCAGAAUAAAGACGAUCUUUAUCUUUUUUUUUCUUGCUGUUUGAAUUCCACUAAAGUUUAUGACUGAAGGCAAUAACACCAGAGUUGUGAUCAUUUCAGUGCCAAAAAGUUCAAGGGAACU